rnacentral:rRNA from 1 species
AUGCAUGCAAAUCUAACAAUAGAUUCUGCAGAUGACUCCAGAGUGAAUCCGGAGGUCGUGAUAGGGAAUGAGCCGCAUGCCCAACGACAGCUAAAGGCUGGUGAGCGCGUGCUUAAAAAGGUUAGGCAGGAGAAAAACAAUCUCCAAGAUGCCAAUAUCCAGCUGGGCGUGGAACUGAAAGAUGUUCGGGCCCAGCUUGCUGACUCCGUAAAGGAGAAUAAGAGGCUUCGACGCGGCAUUUUCAGUAAGUGCUUGAACGAACUUUUAAAGAGUUCGGGAAAGAAACCGGCUAACAGAGUUAUAUCUGCAGGUAUGCUGAUGGGUCGUCCCGAGGAGGAGAUGCCCGGGUCUGCGGGUGAUCUUCUUCCAGAGCUCUCAUAA